AUUCCUGGUUUCUUUGCUAAAUCGGAACCACACCAAUCCAUCCCGAACUUGGUUGUUAAACGGUUUAGGAGUGAAGAUACUGAAAGGGUGGCCUUUUGGGAAAAUAACUUGAUGCCAGGAAU
rnacentral:rRNA from 1 species